UAAUGUAUGGGGAUCUGCCCGAUAGAGGGGGGUAACUACUGGAAACGGUGGCUAAUACCGCAUAAUGUCUACGGACCAAAGCAGGGGCUCUUCGGACCUUGCACUAUCGGAUGAACCCAUAUGGGAUUAGCAGUAGGUGGGGUAAAGGCUCACCUAGGCGACGAUCUCUAGCUGGUCUGAGAGGAUGAUCAGCCACACUGGGACUGAGACACGGCCCAG
rnacentral:rRNA from 1 species